rnacentral:rRNA from 1 species
AUUGAACGCUGGCGGCAGGCCUAACACAUGCAAGUCGAGCGGAUGAAGGGAGCUUGCUCCUGGAUUCAGCGGCGGACGGGUGAGUAAUGCCUAGGAAUCUGCCUGGUAGUGGGGGAUAACGUCCGGAAACGGGCGCUAAUACCGCAUACGUCCUGAGGGAGAAAGUGGGGGAUCUUCGGACCUCACGCUAUCAGAUGAGCCUAGGUCGGAUUAGCUAGUUGGUGGGGUAAAGGCCUACCAAGGCGACGAUCCGUAACUGGUCUGAGAGGAUGAUCAGUCACACUGGAACUGAGACACGGUCCAGACUCCUACGGGAGGCAGCAGUGGGGAAUAUUGGACAAUGGGCGAAAGCCUGAUCCAGCCAUGCCGCGCGUGUGAAGAAGGUCUUCGGAUUGUAAAGCACUUUAAGUUGGGAGGAAGGGCAGUAAGUUAAUACCUUGCUGUUUUGACGUUACCAACAGAAUAAGCACCGGCUAACUUCGU